rnacentral:misc_RNA from 1 species
UGGGUCAAGCUGCUUACCUAUCGAAACACCAUAAGAUCUAUACAAGUUACCAAAUUGGUUUUUAUGCCUCAGUUCCAGAGAGUGUAAGAUGGCCUGUGCUUGGAAUAGCAAUACUAGCCUCUGUCGUGGGAAGCCAAGCGAUCAUAAGUGGAACAUUCUCCAUCAUAAAUCAGAGCCAGUCACUUGGUUGCUUCCCAAGGGUCAAGGUAGUUCACACCUCUGACAAAGUCCAUGGCCAGAUCUAUAUCCCUGAGAUCAAUUGGAUGCUCAUGAUCCUUUGCUUAGCAGUAGCUGUGGGGUUUAGAGACACAAAGCGCAUGGGCAA